rnacentral:rRNA from 1 species
AUGGAAGCGGUUCUUUCUGCCGUUACAGGUGACCUUGUUAGCAGAUUUUUCUCCUUUCUGGUAAGCAGAUACACAGCCCUCACAUGCUUGGAGGAGACGCAUGUGGAUGUGGAGAGGUUGCAGCAACUCCUGAUAAGAGCUCAAAUGGUUGUCGAGGAGGCCGAUGCACGGUACAUCACCAACUCUGGUAUGCUUCUACAACUGAAGAUGCUAGCUAGGGCUAUGUACCAUGGUUAUUAUGCGCUAGACACUUUCAAGUGCAACCAACUCAUAAACAAAGAGGGCUCCAAGGAAGUGAUGGAUGCUGGCUCAUUUGCAUCAUAUCUUGGCACUGCCCUGAAGCGCUUCCGCACAAACACUGAUGUGUCAAAUCACAAAGUUUAUAACAACUGUGACCUAGAAGGUGCCUUGUUGAAUUUAGAGACUGUCGUUUCUAAUAUCACAGAGUUUGUUAUACUUUUGGGUGGGUGCCAACCCAUGUUUCGCAGACCCUACGACACAUAUCUUUACGUCAACAACUUCAUGUUUGGUCGCUGGACCGAGAAGCAACAAGUUGUCAACUUCUUGCUACAACACUUCCAUCUUGGUUCUCCGCCUGUGCUUGCCAUCAUCGGCGGCUUCCAAGUCGGGAAGAAGACUCUCGUAGCUCAUGUAUGCAAUGAUGAGAAUGUCCGCAGUUACUUCUCUUCAAUUUUGCACUUUAAUGAAGACAAUUUCUGUAGGAUAGAGAAUGAAACGUGCACAUCAGGAAGAACACUGGUUAUUGUCGAAUUUCGUUCAGAUGUUGAUGAUGAGAAGUGGAAACCUUUUUACCGGGCAGUGGCAUCCAUGCGCAUAGGAAGUAAGAUUAUAAUCAUAAGUAGGAUGGAUAGCUUGAUGAAAUAUGGUACCGUGAAGCCAAUCCACCUAAGUAAAUUACCGGAUGAGGAGUACAUUUACCUCUUCAAGACACUAGCAUUUGGAAGUGCACGCACUGAGGACCACCCAAAGUUGACAUUGUUGGCAGGAGAGUUCAUCAAACUGUGUGAUGGGUCAUUUGUGGCAGCAUAUUCAGUUACCAAUGGGUUGAGGACGAAUCUAAGCCUCCGACACUGGGUUUGCAUGUUUAAGAGAUUCAAGAAUGUGACAAAGAACAACUUGUCCAUGUUUGGUGAGCAUCUUUCACACCGUUUCAAAAGACAAUGUCUAGUCGACUUCACCAACUUUCUUCCUUCUCCUGCUGCUCCACUAUACCUUAUGCCUCCUCGGACUGAAGCUGAGGUUUCCGAAAGGAGACUAUCCAAGAUUAAGAUUAGAGACAUCAUUGAUGAUCCCUCAGUUCGUCCCAAGGGUGACUUUAUAUUAGUGAUAUGGGAAUCAAGGAUACCUCCUUAUACUGAGUUCAGUUACCAUGUUCCGUCUUGUGCUCAACCACAAUCUAAAAUAACCUUGAGGAGGAAGCGUGAAGCAACUAUGUCUGUGUAG